GGGUGCGAUCAUACCAGCACUAAUGCACCGGAUCCCAUCAGAACUCCGCAGUUAAGCGUGCUCGGGCGAGAGUAGUACUAGGAUGGGUGACCUCCUGGGAAGUCCUCGUGUUGCACCCC
rnacentral:rRNA from 1 species